GACGAACGCUGGCGGCGUGCUUAACACAUGCAAGUCGAACGGAAAGGCCCUGCUUUUGUGGGGUGCUCGAGUGGCGAACGGGUGAGUAACACGUGAGUAACCUGUCCCUGACUUUGGGAUAACUUCAGGAAACUGGGGCUAUUACGGCCAAGGAGUUCUCGCCGCUUGGUGGGGGCUGGUAAGUUUCGCUGGUUGGGGAUGGACUCGCGUCUUAUGAGCUUGUUGGUGGGGUAGUGUGUUACCAUGACCUUGAAAGGUAGCAGGCCUGCGAGGGGCACCGGCCACAUUGGGACGGAGAUGCGGCCCAGACUCCUACGGGAGGCAGCAGUGGAGAAUAGUGCACAAUGGGCGGAAGCCUGGUGCAGCAACGCCGCGUGCGGGAUGACGGCCUUCGGGUUGUAAUGCGCUUUCGCCUGUGACGAGACGUGAGUGACGGUAAUGGGUAAAGAAGCACCGGCUAACUACGUG
rnacentral:rRNA from 1 species